GGGCGAGUGGCGGAACUGGCAGACGCGCAGGACUUAGAAUCCUGUGGCGGAGACGCCGUGGGAGUUCGAGUCUCCCCUCGCCCACCA
rnacentral:tRNA from 1 species